rnacentral:lncRNA from 1 species
CUGACUUCCUCUAGAGUGGUCACCAAGGUGAAAUGUUGGUGCCAAAUGAACUUUUCUGGUUCUUCUGAAUAUGCCACUGUUGCUGGAGAAAUGUCACUGCUAGAGAACAGAAGACUAUUAUUCCAAAGGGUAUUUGAGACUGACUGAAUCAGGUCUGGAACAUUAUUGAAAUGGUGGUGACCAGAUGGAUAUAAACGGGCUGUGGAAAAAGAGAAUGCAUGGCCAAAAAUGGUGGUGCUCUCUGUCCAAAAACUGAGGCCCUAUGACCAUGAAUGAAGCCAGAGGGCAGGUAGGAAUAGAUCAUUUGCUCCAGAAGAAGCUGGUUGCCAUGUCUUGAGGACAGUAAACCCUCUGGGGAGGUUCCUGUGGUAAGGAACAAGGGCUCCUGGCAAUAGCCUCUGAGUGAGCCACCUUGAAAAUGGAUUGUCCAGCCCCAGUCAAGCUUUCAGAUGACUGUAGCUCCUGCCAAUGUCUUCACCACAACCUCAUGAGAUCCCAAGCUACAACCACUCAGAACUUCAUCUUUUGGGAAGCACCAGGGAGAGCUGCCUGUGCCUGGCAGAAGCUGCCCAUGCCCCACUGAUACCCCACAGUACUUCCUGUUCUGCUUAGUACUCCUGCUUCUUUCUACAAACAACUGUGAUUCUCUACCUGGGAGCUUCCUCUGGCCACAGGAGCCUGCUCACCUGAUUGGGACACCCUAGCAGUACUGGCUCAUAGAUGGAAGGGACUUGCCUUGUCGCUGAUGAGACUUUCGACUUGGACUUUUGAGUCAAUGCUGGAAUGAGUUAAGACUUUGGGGAACUGUUGGAAGGGUGUGAUUGUGUUUUGAAUUGUGAGGACAUGAGAUUUUGAAGAGGCUAAUGGCAGCGUCCCCACCUAAAUCUCUUCUUGAAUUGUAGUUCCCAUAAUCCCCACGUGUCGUGGGGUGGAGCCGGUGGAGAUAAUUGAAUCAUGGGAACACUUUCCCCCAUGCUGUUAUUGUGAUUGUGAAUUCUCACGAGAUCUGAUGGUUGUAUAAACGCCUUCCCUCUUCGCUGGGCACUCAUUUUUCUCCUUCCUGCCACCAUGUGAAGAAGGAUAUGCUUGCUUCUUGUGCCAUGAUUACAAGAACACACUCAGAAAUUUUCUCAACACAGUUUCUAUGCAGAGAAGAGAUGUGGGACAGAUUUGAACUGCUGUCAUAUUUGUAUGAACCCAAGACAUUUUCCAAGACCAAGAGGGAUAAAGACAGCAAUUUCUAUGACUGGCAUUUUACGUGCAUGCACUGUUUCCAAGUGUUCUUGUGUUCUGUGCCUUAAACAUUCUGUGUUGCAACUUUAUGAAUUGAAUUAAAGAUAAUCCCAAGCCCCCAAUUGUCUCAAAAAGUGAAAAAGUAAAUGUUAUAGAAAGAAAAGCGGGAAAAACUUUAAGCAUGAAAUAAAAGAUGGGUUGUGAUAAAAGAGGACUGAAGAAGGAAAAGGAAUGAAAGGUUCUGCCAUCCUUCAUGGCAGCCCACUCCACUUGGUAUGAGAUACUGCUCCCUUGGCUGAAAGUUAACUGCUGUACUCCCUCCACUUUCUAUAAAUGACUCCCUGUGCCUUUCCUUCACCACACAACUCACACUCUCUUCCUUCCUAGUGAGUCCACUAAGGCUUCACUGCAUUAUUACAUUUAUUUCAUUUAGGAAAAACUGACUUUAUUUUCCUUCAAAUUGUUUUUUAUUGUUUAUAUGAGCUUGGUUUUAUUGUCAUUCUAUUUUUCUCCAUGAAAAUAGAGAAAAAUAGGGUCGAAAGGUUAGGUUGGGUGGAAAGGAAUUAUAUUUUUUCUCACUAAAAUUGAUGUAAAUAUCGUUUUCAAUUGAAUGAUUUUACACAGUGGCACAGUUUCAGGUAUGUUGCUAAGCAGGAAAGUUGUUAACCAAAGCAUGAAUGUAUUAAGGAGAUGUAUGCAGAAUGACAUGCAAGGUUAUCUAUGAUUGCUGAGUGAGAAAGAGCAAGUUGCUGAGUAUUAUAUAAGUAUGAUCUCACUUUUGUAAAAAAAAAAAAAAAAAAAGGCCUGGACUGAUCUGAAAUGACCCUAUUAAUAACAAUUAUGUCCAGGUCUGUAUUGCAUACUUGUCAUUCAUUACAGGAUCUUGAGACACAAUGCAAAGGAUCACAUCGCAGCUCUGUAACUUGUUAACUAUAAGAUUUUGAGUAACAUAACACCUUACUCCUUAAAAUUGCUUAAAAAAAAUCUGAACAUCAGGAAUAUUCUACUUCACAGGGUCGUUGUGAUAAUUAAAUGUAGUAAUCAAUGACAAUAGUGCCAGAUACAGUAGAUAGCCUACACUUUGCAGCUACUAUUUCUAUCUAUCAUCCAUCUAUUAAUAUAUAUCAUCUAUCUUUAACUUAUCAUCUAUCUUGUUCCAGUUUUUUAAAAUGAACAUGUAUUAACUUUGUAAAAAAUUAAGGCUAUAAGAUGUGCUGAGCUUUUGGAAUAGAUUUUCCUGUACUAUAUAUGACUGCCAGUGGGAGAAUUUGAAUAAAUGUGUAAAUUUGACUAAAUCUGAAUAAAUGUUCAUUUGACGGGACCAUAGAUUUGGGGGUCUAGCACUAGCUCUGUUUCUACACUCCUGCUGCUGCCUGAUAGAGAUGCCUCUCUUGUUUUGGACUCCAAGGUAAAGUAAGCCUUUUCAUUUUGUGCAUCAUAAUUUAAAAUGACAAAUGGAAUCUAUUUUUUUCUCCAUCUAACGCAUAUAUAGCUACCAUUUAUUAAUUCUUGUUUCCUUCUUAUGUUGCUCUUUGUUGUCAUUUUUAAGGGAAGAAGAGACUGGGUCACGGGAAUGCUUUAAUGUGGAAACCCUGAAUUCGUUCCACACAUCUGCCUUCUGGGGACACAGGUAAAUGAGGCCGAGUAGUGAAGUGGGAAGUUCCUGAAAAUGUGACAGCAAGCCUCUGUCCACUGCCAGACCGAAGACAGGGAGGCGCUCAUCGGCAAAUUAAUGGAUGUUAAAGGGAAGCAAAAUAACACCAAGAUAGACUCAUGAAUU